UACGUAGGGUGCGAGCGUUGUCCGGAAUUAUUGGGCGUAAAGAGCUCGUAGGCGGUGUGUCACGUCGGCCGUGAAAACCUGCAGCUUAACUGUGGGCGUGCGGGCGAUACGGGCAGACUGGAGUACUGCAGGGGGAGACUGGAAUUCCUGGUGUAGCGGUGGAAUGCGCAGAUAUCAGGAGGAACACCGGUGGCGAAGGCGGGUCUCUGGGGCAGUAAACUGACGCUGGAGGA
rnacentral:rRNA from 1 species